rnacentral:rRNA from 1 species
GAUGAACGCUGACAGAAUGCUUAACACAUGCAAGUCAACUUGAACUUCGGUUUGGGUGGCGGACGGGUGAGUAACGCGUAAAGAACUUGCCUCACAGAUAGGGACAACAUUUGGAAACGAAUGCUAAUACCUGAUAUUAUGAUUUUAGGGCAUCCUAGGAUUAUGAAAGCUAUAUGCGCUGUGAGAGAGCUUUGCGUCCCAUUAGCUAGUUGGAGAGGUAACGGCUCACCAAGGCGAUGAUGGGUAGCCGGCCUGAGAGGGUGAUCGGCCACAAGGGGACUGAGACACGGCCCUUACUCCUACGGGAGGCAGCAGUGGGGAAUAUUGGACAAUGGACCGAGAGUCUGAUCCAGCAAUUCUGUGUGCACGAUGAAGUUUUUCGGAAUGUAAAGUGCUUUCAGUUGGGAAGAAAAAAAUGACGGUACCAACAGAAGAAGUGACGGCUAAAUACGUG